AUUGAACGCUGGCGGCAGGCCUAACACAUGCAAGUCGAACGAAGUCUUCGGACUUAGUGGCGGACGGGUGAGUAACACGUGGGAACGUGCCUUUAGGUUCGGAAUAACUCAGGGAAACUUGUGCUAAUACCGAAUGUGCCCUUCGGGGGAAAGAUUUAUCGCCUUUAGAGCGGCCCGCGUCUGAUUAGCUAGUUGGUGAGGUAAAGGCUCACCAAGGCUACGAUCAGUAGCUGGUCUGAGAGGAUGACCAGCCACAUUGGGACUGAGACACGGCCCAAACUCCUACGAGAGGCAGCAGUGGGGAAUCUUGCGCAAUGGGCGAAAGCCUGACGCAGCCAUGCCGCGUGGAUGAUGAAGGUCUUAGGAUUGUAAAAUCCUUUCACCGGUGAAGAUAAUGACUGUAGCCGGAGAAGAAGCCCCGGCUAACUUCGUGCCAGCCGCCGCAGUAACAC
rnacentral:rRNA from 1 species